rnacentral:rRNA from 1 species
UGCGGUUAAAAAGCUCGUAGUUGGAUUUCUGUUGAAGACGGCCGGUCCGCUCUAUGAGACGUGUAUCUGGUUCGGCUUUGGCAUCCUCGUGGGGAACGCUACUGUGCUUGAUUGCAUGGUGCGGAAUUCACGACUUUUACUUUGAGGAAAUUAGAGUGUUCACGGCAGGCAAGCGCCUUGAAAACAUUAGCAUGGAAUAAUAAUAUAGGACUUUGGUUCUAUUUUGUUGGUUUCCAGAACUAGAGUAAUGAUUAAUAGGGAUAAUUGGGGGCAUUUGUAUUAACGCGUCAGAGGUGGAAUUCUUGGAUUGCGUUACGACAAACUACUGCGAAAGCAUUUGCCAAGGAUGUUUUCAUUGAUCAAGAACGAAAGUAUGGGGAUCGAAGAUGAUUAGAUACCGUCGUAGUCUAUACC